rnacentral:rRNA from 1 species
GAGUUUGAUCAUGGCUCAGAUUGAACGCUGGCGGCAUGCCUUACACAUGCAAGUCGAACGGCAGCACGGGAGCUUGCUCCUGGUGGCGAGUGGCGAACGGGUGAGUAAUGCAUCGGAACGUAUCCUGGAGUGGGGGAUAACGUAGCGAAAGUUACGCUAAUACCGCAUAUUCUGUGAGCAGGAAAGCGGGGGACCUUCGGGCCUCGCGCUCUUGGAGCGGCCGAUGUCGGAUUAGCUAGUUGGUGAGGUAAAGGCUCACCAAGGCGACGAUCCGUAGCAGGUCUGAGAGGAUGAUCUGCCACACUGGAACUGGGACACGGUCCAGACUCCUACGGGAGGCAGCAGUGGGGAAUUUUGGACAAUGGGGGCAACCCUGAUCCAGCCAUGCCGCGUGAGUGAAGAAGGCCU